CACCGCCCGUCACAUCACGAAAGUGGAUUGUACUAGAAGUCCGUGCGCCGACCGCAAGGGGCAGCGGCCCAAGGUAUGAUUCAUGAUUGGGGUG
rnacentral:rRNA from 1 species